CGGACGGGUGAGUAACGUGUAAAGAACUUACCAUAUAGACUGGGAUAACAGAGGGAAACUUCUGAUAAUACUGGAUAAGUUAGUAUAUCGCAUGAUAUGCAAAUGAAAGCUACGGCACUAAAGGAGAGCUUUGCGUCCUAUUAGCUAGUUGGUAAGGUAAGAGCUUACCAAGGCGAUGAUAGGUAGCCGGCCUGAGAGGGUGGACGGCCACAAGGGGACUGAGAUACGGCCCUUACUCCUACGGGAGGCAGCAGGC
rnacentral:rRNA from 1 species